rnacentral:rRNA from 1 species
GAUGAACGCUGGCGGCGUGCCUAAUACAUGCAAGUCGAGCGAAUGGAUUGAGAGCUUGCUCUUAUGAAGUUAGCGGCGGACGGGUGAGUAACACGUGGGCAACCUGCCUGUAAGACUGGGAUAACUUCGGGAAACCGGAGCUAAUACCGGAUACGUUCUUUCCUCGCAUGAGGAAAGAUGGAAAGAUGGUUUCAGCUAUCACUUACAGAUGGGCCAGCGGGGCAUUAGCUAGUUGGUGGGGUAAUGGCCCACCAAGGCGACGAUGCGUAGCCGACCUGAGAGGGUGAUCGGCCACACUGGGACUGAGACACGGCCCAGACUCCUACGGGAGGCAGCAGUAGGGAAUCUUCCGCAAUGGACGAAAGUCUGACGGAGCAACGCCGCGUGAGCGAAGAAGGCCUUCGGGUCGUAAAGCUCUGUUGUCAGGGAAGAACAAGUGCCAGAGUAACUGCUGGCACCUUGACGGUACCUGACCAGAAAGCCACGGCUAACUACGUGCCAGCCGCCGCAGUAA